rnacentral:misc_RNA from 1 species
AAGGGAUUCAAUCCAGGACCAAAGACACGAAGAUUGUGAACGAUUACGAUGAAGGUCAUAAAGGGCUUAAAGAUUGUAAUCAUAAUUGAUGCGAAACCCUUAUCGGUUGAAUGAAUGAUGAUGCAGGAGAGAAAAAUUUGAAGAACCAACAGAUGGGGUUUGGGAUUCCGAGUAGACAAAUGCUUGAAGGACAAAAUUCGGCGGUGAUUAUAGAA